GUUUGUGUGACCUUUGACUUCCCAUGAAGUCACUUCCUGUAGCUGCGCGCUAUUUUCCUCAGUCGCCUAGAGGCCCCGCUGAGGAGAGGUGUUCAUGCAGAAGUCCAGUAAAGUGAAGUUGCUGUACUGUUUUGUUUUUAUUUUAAACAGGUAUGUGAGCUCCCUCUUUUAUUUUUGUGUCAUGUGAACUGGUUAUAUCUUCUGUUUGUUUGUGAUUCAUGUUCACUGUUUCAACUUACUGUAAAUAUGUAAAAUUGCCACUGGUAAAUGAAGUCUCCCUAAAGUAUAAUUUUGUUGAUGAGGUAAUUGUCACUAUAUGUUCACGAUGCAGUGCAUUUUUGUUUGUUAUAUAUGAAUAUAAAUACAUUUUAGCAGUAUUAUUUGGUAAUUGGAUUUGUUGUAAUGUUGCACCUCAGUCGCCUAGAGGCCCCGCUGAGGAGAGUUCUGGGAGAAUAAAUCCACCCAGCUGGCAAAGUGAGAGCUGACUCCUCUGGUCAUUCGCACAACACAACGCAGAGAACUAACGGCAAUAAGAGUUUAAGGCCAGACCGGCUACAGUGGUGCCGUGAGCCGGAUCCACACCACUUCAGACUUGCUCAUCGUGGUUCGUGGAGACGCGAUCAACAUCAGUUUGGUCACCAGAGGUUGCUGUAAUGGACAAUUUAAUGUAAGCUCUGAACACAAAUCCCAAGCGUUCGAGGAAACACUUGCACCUUUUUUUUGGACUGUUGUUUACAAGGUAAAUUUAAUUCUGCUGUUUGCAUUGUACAUAUGUUAUAACAAUGGAUGAUGAAAAAGUUUCAAG